UGCAAUUUUUGGAGCUAGGGAAUUUGAGAAAUGGAAUUUAUACAAAAUAUCCAAAAUGAAUUUAUUUAAAAACCUAGAACAAGUUUUAAUUUGUAAUUCAAAUUCUAUUGGGAAUUUGGUCUUGCUUAUUAAAACAAAGUUGUAGGGUUUUUGUGUUGGAACAACUUUGCUUUUGGGAGAAAGUGGUGAAAAUGAUUUGAAAAUGGUCAAAAUGAAUUUAGAAUAAAUUUGGAGAAAAGAAAUUCAAAAAAAAAAGAAAGGGGC
rnacentral:lncRNA from 1 species